rnacentral:lncRNA from 1 species
CACAGCAGUUGUUCUGGGACUUCCCUUUAACACAGUGGAUUUCACUGCCUCUGCACAGUGGUCUAACCUGAAGAGAGGGUAAAUAAUGCUUUUCUGGACCGACUCCAAGGCAAAAGUCAACCAGGUGGCCUCCAGCAGUCUAGAGGCUAUUGGAAUACGAAUAGUGGUAACAGCUGGGGUAUAUGAGAAAUAUUAAUUUCUACCUGGUCUUCAUCAACUGACCUGGAAAAAACCUCCUGAGAUGCUUUUCCUUAAUGUAAUUUUGUUCAGCCUCACUGUUUUUUACCUUAGCUUCAACUGCCUACCCACUCAACUGAGCAGUUAGGGAUGGUCAAUUUCUCUGUCAUUAGUUAUGCAUGUUUGCAGGCUCUGAUUACUAAACUCAUUUAAUCUCUACUGCCUGAAAAAUGUUACAUUAUUUUUAUAAUUGGUUUUGCCUCUUAUUAGAAUCAUUAGAACAAUGUUAAUAAGAUAGAAAAAGAUGGAAUCACUUGAUAGUUUCAGGUUAGCGAGAAUGCUGGGCGCUACAGGCUUCUUUAUAUAAGCAACUAUUUCUAAGCUAAUUCUCAGAUCAGAUUUGGGGAAGCUUUGGGGUCUUUUAGGUUUUUAUCCCUACUUUCUUAAUCUAGGCAACAAAUAUAACCAAAAGAAAAGUAUUGUAUACUCUAUUAUAUGUGCUGCCGAAGCGAGCACAAGAAAAGUAUUGUAUACUCUAUUAAAAUUAUAAAUAAAUUUUGAACUGCUAUAUAAAUGGGC